AUUGAACGCUGGCGGCAGGCUUAACACAUGCAAGUCGAACGGUAACAGGAGAAAGCUUGCUUUCUUGCUGACGAGUGGCGGACGGGUGAGUAAUGCUUGGGAAUCUGGCUUAUGGAGGGGGAUAACGACGGGAAACUGUCGCUAAUACCGCGUAGAGUCGAGAGACGAAAGUGCGGGACCGCAAGGCCGCAUGCCAUAGGAUGAGCCCAAGUGGGAUUAGGUAGUUGGUGGGGUAAUAGCCUACCAAGCCGACGAUCUCUAGCUGGUCUGAGAGGAUGACCAGCCACACCGGGACUGAGACACGGCCCGGACUCCUACGGGAGGCAGCAGUGGGGAAUAUUGCGCAAUGGGGGCAACCCUGACGCAGCCAUGCCGCGUGAAUGAAGAAGGCCUUCGGGUUGUAAAGUUCUUUCGGUAUUGAGGAAGGUUGUUGUGUUAAUAGCACGACAAAUUGACGUUAAAUACAGAAGAAGCACCGGCUAACUCCGUGCCAGCAGCCGCGGUAAUACGGAGGGUGCGAGCGUUAAUCGGAAUAACUGGGCGUAAAGGGCACGCAGGCGGACUUUUAAGUGAGGUGUGAAAUCCCCGGGCUUAACCUGGGAAUUGCAUUUCAGACUGGGAGUCUAGAGUACUUUAGGGAGGGGUAGAAUUCCACGUGUAGCGGUGAAAUGCGUAGAGAUGUGGAGGAAUACCGAAGGCGAAAGCAGCCCCUUGGGAAUGUACUGACGCUCAUGUGCGAAAGCGUGGGGAGCAAACAGG
rnacentral:rRNA from 1 species